GACUUGUUUUGUGGCCUAAAAUGUGAUCUAUACUGAAGAAUGUUUUGUGUGCUGUUCAGAAGAAUUUGUACACUGCACCUGCUGGAUGGAAUGGUUCGAGGCUGAGAAACGCCAGGAUCUGCAGUUGGCCAGCUGGAGAAGCAGAAGAGCGAGUGGUAUAGUUCCAACCUGAAUCUGAAGGCUUGAGAACCAAGAAGAGCCAAGAGUGUCAGUCCCAGUUUGCAUCCAGUUCUGAAGUCCAGAGAAGACUAAUGUCCCAGCUCAAAGACAGUCAGAAAAGGGGAGAGAAGAGUGUGUGGAAAAUUUUAGGACAAGAACUACAGUUUUCCACUGGAUGUCAGAAGAGGCAAGAUGAGAUCUUAGACCUAGAGAUAGUAGGAAAAGCAGCUAGAAAGGAGAUAAUCAGAGCAACAGGUCAUUUUUUCACAUUUACCACGGAUCCUAGAUUUUUGAAGUAGUGGGUUAACAACAAACCUCUCUUCCCAAGUGAGAUAAAGGAAUUAAAACACAGUAAUUGACUUGGUAA